UGAUGCAUGAAGUUAACUGCACACUCC
rnacentral:piRNA from 1 species